AGGGGCUCCCCCCGAGAGCCUAGGGGGCCGCCGCGCCGUGUCCCGCGCCCGGCCUGCCGGGGCUGCUGGACUAGAGGGAUUGAUUAUUGAUUGGUGAUCGGGGUCGCUGAGGCUCCGGGCCGGCCCGGCCGACUGGCCGCGGCAAGAAGGAGCUGGCUGGGCGGCGUGGGCGGCGGGGCGACGCGGGCUCACUUACGGGCGGCGGUGAGGGCGCGGGUGGGCCGGAGCUCAUGCGGGCGACCCCCGGGCGGCGGCGGCUGAGCGGGAGCCGGAGCCCGAGCGGCGCGGGCGGCGGCGCAUCGAUGCGCUGCGGGCUCGAUUGCGUCUCCCUGGGCCAGCUCUCAGGCCGGGAAUGGGGCGGCCGCGCCGGGGCCGGCUCCGGGCGCUGCCGGGCGGCGGCUGCUGGAGCGCGGGGGCGGCCUCCGGGCCCACUAUCCCCGAGGCGGCCCUGCGCCCGGGCGCGCCGGCUGGGGCUCUGGCGCUCUCGCAGGCCCCGAGGCCGACAGUCCCGGCGAGGGCGGGCGCCCCGCGCUCCAGCACCGGCUGCCUGAGCGCUCCUGGAGCAGCAAACCCCAGACUUCUUCCUCCUUCUCUCCUUCCUUCCUUCCCCCUCCCCUUAUCUUUUUCUUUUUUUAGUCUCUUUCUCCCUCUUUUUCUGCCCUGUGUCCUUUUUAUUUUUUCUCUACGACUGUUUUUGCAAGUUUGUUUCAAAAGUUCACAGCAUGCUUUCUUUUCUUUUAGACCGGGAGACAGUGAUCUCACCCACACGGUAAGAUCAAAAGUCUCCGCUCGCCCAGCCUGCGGGCUUGGGCUGGGUCCAGACGUCUCCCAGGAUGCAGAUGCGCCGCCGCUGGCCUCCCCGGCUAUAAAGCCGCCUCCAGCGCCUUUCCGCGCGCAGGAGCGCUCGGAGUUGUGGGGUACGGACCCCAGGCGGGGCAGGGAGUCCGAGGCGGGCUGCGGCGGGGCUCUCGGGCUGGCGGACUCGGGGGCUGAGGCGCCGUGCGCGUUGGGUGCCCGCGGCCGCAGAGGCCAGAACCGCUACUCCUCCAGGCCGGGGAGACGCGGCCGUGGAGCGUGAAACGCUUCUUGCAAGCGAGGAAACGGUGAGUUGGCCGACACCGCCGGCGGCCUCACCAUUCUGGUGGCCGCGCUGAGCUCCUGUCGCCUGGAGGCGGGUUGCGCCGCACGGGGUCAGCUCCCGCCGGCUCCCAGCUCACCUUCGAAGCUCCCACUUAGGCGCGCCCGGUGCGGCGUGUGCACAGCGCGGGGCGCCGCACACGGAAGCGUGUAGUUCUCCCUGGUCGCGCUUUUCUCCUCCUUUCCAUCCCCUCGCUGUUCUUGCAAACCUCUGUUCCUUCGGCCCCCUCCCACUGCGGGCCGCGGCCUGAACUCGGGUCUCCGCGUAGCCGGCCGCCGCCGCUGGGUCGCUGCCUGGCCCUCCCCCGCUCAGGCGCCGAGCGCUGUGCGAUCCGCCCUAACAUCUGUCCGUCCAACCAUUGGCGCAUCCAUCAGUGUCAAUGGGCUGCACAUUGCAGCGACAGCCCGCCACGCACAACACGGGCUAUGCGGAGUGCACGCAGCAACCAUACUGCCAUGUCGGGACACGCAAAAAGGCCCCCGGCCUGGCUUGGCACAGCCUGAAGGCCUAAUCUGUGUUCUUUCAGCCACAUGUACCCACCCCCACUUAAUAUCUGGACCCCCAAACAUGAAUAGUUUUGCAGACCAUUGUAGGGAUGGAAUUGAAGGAAGAGGGGCAGUGUCGCCCGAGUCAUUAUUUUCCACCAGGUUUUCUCUGCCCUUGUGUGGGCUGGGUGUGGCUAGGAGAGAAGGAAGGGAGACUUCCCAAAUCCGCACCAAGCACACUGCAGAACCGGAAGCUACCUGGAUGCAAGGGCUUAAACCCCCUUCACCUGGGCCUAGGAUGUGUUGUCGAGGUCGCUGGCCAGGUUUUAGCCAGGAGGUCUCGCGCUAAAACUUUUUGGCCCCGCCUGGCUGCUGUGUGUGACAUGGCCUGAUGGAGAGGAGCUGGAGAGCGGAGGAAAACGUGGAUCCCAGUGAGAACUAAGGGCCAGAUUUAGGGAGAAAUAGUGUCUGGAUGGCAGUAAGUCUGUAAUUCACAUUUUGUUUACAAAGGGAGAAAGGGCAGGGCUGUAGGUUUGAGAAGCCAGAGGUUUGCGCGGAGUUCCGUGUGCCCAUUCCCCGAGAGUGCCGCUCUUGGCUGUAGUUGUUUGUUCUACCUGAUUUUGCCUCUUGCCUUCAACUCCCCCAUAACCCCUCCCCAAAUGUCCAGAGGGCAAACAUAUGCGCAUACCUCCCUGAUCAAUCCAGCCAGACCAAAGGGCCUUCCCUGUCCUCCCCCUAAGAACUUAAUGGGAAGAGUGUACGGGGGACCUACUCUUGGGACAUCUGCAGGGCGGCUGUACCAGGCGUUUUACCUGACUUUAUUCUUACCGCAAAGAUUUCCGUCUCGGUACCUGGUGCCCCCUCAGAGUCCACUACACAAACGGGUAAAAUCCCGCGCGGCUAUUCAUUUCGCCAUUCGCGAGUAAGAAGGGGAAAAGGAGCCGCUUCUAGGAGAGCACUGAGGUAUGCUCGGUUCGGUUCCCGAGGAGGCCAGAAGCGGCCGCGGCGGCGCGGGCUGGAGCUCCCUCCUGCAGGGAGACACCGCGCUCUAGGGUGCGGGCUUCGCCGCCCACAUCCAGUGGUCGAACUGUUUUCACGCUAGACUAGAGGGCGGAAAAGUCUGCGCCCGCGGAGAAACUAGAAUUCUGUAGAAUGUACACUGUGUAGAAAUCUUUUCACCCCACUCUUCAGAGUUGCAGAUUAUCUUUGAAAAACAACAGGCUCUGGCCCUGCCAGCCCUAGUAACUUCUACCCGCCUGAGUCACUCUGAAAAGUAAGCCCCUAGGCCAGUGAGAUGUCCCCACCUUUGGGAGGUGCCGCCUUUCCGGGAACAUUAAAAAAAAAACCCUAAAAAUAGAAGGAGGAAAAAUGAGCAAAGGCGGUGGGACGACUCACCGAAACACCGAGGUGCAAAUGUCCAUUGGAGAAACUGGCAGUCGCAUGGCAGCCAGCUGGCUCACCCAAUAGCUGGGUGGUAACCUUGUGAUCCCCAAACAUCCCCCAGGGCCAUGAAGGCAGUGCUGACCCCCACGAUUGCACCUCAGGCCCGGUGGAAUCCCGCUCCUCCUCCAUAGUGGUGCUAUGUAAUCAGUAGAAAAUCAGUAGAAAAGCUCCCAAAUGAAGCUGCUUCAGGUCAGGGGUUAGAAAUCUGCCUCAGACUUUUUGAACUCAAGGAAAUCGGGACAUCUGUCCCCAGAGCUACCUGUGCCCCACCCCAGGAUCAUUCAUGACCUUAGCUACCGGGAGCUCUGCCCGGAUAAGUUUUUAAAAGAGAGAGAGAAAGAAAAAAGUCACAUGCAGGCAAGGCUAGGAACAGGUGUGUGCUGUGGGGACGGGCACUUGGCUCGCAACACACCACACAAAGUCACGAAGUCUGUGCCAGAAAGGAGUAGCCAAACCACCGCCGGGAGGCAGCCGAGGUUGUGUUUAAGGUGGCGAUUGAGGGCAGUAGGUGACAACUCGACCCAAAGAAGGCCAAGUCUUGUCCUUAUCUGGGGUGGCCACUGAGGGAAAAGACUUAAGGGAAAGAAGUUGUCUUCAAAGCUACCAUUACAAGAUGAGGAGCUAGAGUGGGCUCAGGUCCCAGGCACCCAGGGCUUAAGCCUUGAUGUUGGAGAGGUUCUCGGAGGGAGGCUUGGGCCACCUGGAGGGACUGGGCACUCUGAGUAGUACCCUCUGGGAGGCUGUACCCCCUUUCAAAGUGUGAGGGCAUUUGCCCAAGGUGUAGGCUUUUAGGGAGCCCAGGGCUGGGCAGCACCAGGGGAGAGAGGCACCAGGUGGGUGCCCUCCUGCCUGCACUCACCUGGAAUGCUGGCAUAUGGGUUUUUCGCCUUCCUCACGCCUCCCCACACCACAUUCUGGGCUAGGCAGUGUCGAGGAGGUGCCUUGGGUUCAGGGAAGCUUGCCACCUGCACACCUGAACCAGGAAUUGGGCCCCGGAAUCUCAGCCCCUGCCCAAGCAGGAAGGAUAGGGACCCUGGCCCUCGCCAGGUGGUAAAUUGUUUGCUAAAAGUGCAUUUACACGGCGGCGAAGUUUGUUUCUCUUUUACCGGUAGCUUUGUUUUAACGAACCAGAUGUUUUGUCUGUAAAUUCUCCCAAGAACUUUUCCAGUUUUGACGUGAAAUAAACCUUCGAAAAUCAGAAGAGUAUAUUAAUACCACUUCUGUGGGGCCUCAGGAGAGCUGAGUCAGGUGUGCCUGGAUGGGAGCUGGGGGUGGGAGUACAAUCUUUGGAGAGAAGUAGGGGGCUUCUCUUGGCCCAAGGUCAAGAAUUGGUUUGGGGGAGGUGAAGUGCCUCCCCGACUCCCAAAACAGGCGCACACACACGCAUUGUCACACCAGAGUACGCACUCCCAGCCCUCCUCCAACCAGGCAUAGCUUGCUACUUCGUAAAUUUCUUGUGGCUUGGGGCACAGAGAUGUAGCUCAACUUUGCAGACUGUGUCCACUGCAUGCCGCUGCCGUUUUCCACGAGGACCGCCUGACUGAAAGGCAAAGGGGCCUUCGAUCUUCUUCCCGGGGCAGCUUUGAUGCCUGAGUGUGCGGGGCCGGGGCCGGGGCCAGGGCAGAGCAGGGUGGAAGCUGGUGCCCCUGUCUGGCCCACCCUUAACUCCUGGGCACCACUCGAUUCGGGAGAACUUGGGGUGGAAGCCGACCUGGUCUAGGAAGCCACAGCCUGCAGGUCCCCCUCUCCAAUGCCUCAUUUUUUCCGAUUUAGGAUUUCCAGGCAGUUAUAAACACCUUAAAAAAAAAGACCCACUUAACAAUACACCUAAAAGAGGGAGGGAAGGAAGGAAGGAGUACGGUUAUCACAGGCGUGUGGGGAGAGGGAAACCAGGUCUGCCUAGAAACCCACCUUCUGGUCCUGUGAGUCAUAGCGGCCACUUUCUCGGGUUUCCCAAGACAGGAGAUGGCGAUUUUCUGCUCCCUCCCCUCUCCCCAAGCUUUCCAGUGCUCUGAGUCUCACAUCUUCAGAUACCUCUUUCUUCCUUCAUUCUCUUUCGUUCAAUCAUCUACGGAACUUUCAAAAACUUUUUUUUUAGGAGAGCGAAGAUUAAAUAAAGAAAAUAAAACGUCUUUGUAUUUCAGUCUAAGGAGGACAGAUGCACAUUAAACUCAGUUUGGAGCGCUUAACUCCAGGCGAAAUGCCCUUUUAUCAAAUCCCACGCGUCGACUUGGGUUGCGCUGGGAAUUUCACGAAUUCCUCGCUGCAGCGUGGCGUGGUUUACCCCCACCCCCACCGCCACCCCACUUUGGGUGAAAUGGAUUUUUGGAAACCAUUUAAGCAGAGCUAAAAAUAAGGGUGGGGGGAUCCCUACACUAGAGAUAGCUGCAGCCACCUAGGGGCUCACCCCUGGUCGGGAGCGAGCAGCUAUUUGCUAGUUGUAGCUCAGGGGUGCCCAACUCUUCCCGUGUGGUUGCGCCAGCUGCCCCGCACUGCAGGUAUCUGAAUCAUUACGUGGGCAACCUGAUGCGGCUCUGAACCCCAGCUCUUUGAAUGCUGGAAUCCUGAAGGAGGAGGAUUCCACCAGGUCUUAGCCGACCAGAUAGCCCAGCUUUCUGAGGCUGGUGACCUCAUUAACUGGCCAGGGAAUUUGCAAGACCAGGAAUAAUCACGUUUCCCAGUUCUUCUUUCCUACAUUGCUUUUCUCCUCUGUCUUCAACGUUAGGGUUUUGUGUUUGUCCCUAAAUUUACAAUUUACAAACGGGGAAGACGGAGCCUAAGUUUCUGCAGGGCAGGUACAAAAGAGAGGGACAACACUCUGGGGGCCUCAUUCUUUCACGUUUUUGUUUCUUGAAAUUUGAUGGAUAUCACCUUAGUUCGGCAAUAGGAGGGCCAGGGUGACUGGGGACAUGGUGGCCCGAAGGGUUAGAUAAUAUAGCAUGCAGGUAGUCUCUGAUCUCCAGGGCUUUGAUAACACCAAGAUUUUCCUCCUUUGCAGAGCAGUCCUAAAUUCUGCCUUCUCCCUUUUCUGCCGCCUCUUCUCUUUUCCCCAUUUCUUUCUUCGUUUCUUUUUCUGUUUUCUUUUUGUGUGCCUCUCUUCCAACAGUCCCUCCUCCACCUUUAUAAGACUUCUCAAAGGUUAUUUAUUUAAGGUCUACCAAGUGCUAGCCCCAAACAGGUCCAGUCCUUCUACCUGUGGCAAGACGGAGGCUGUUACCGCGUGCAAAUAGUGAGGGAACAAAGUAGUUUGGAGUUUUUUGCAGCUUUUUUAGGUGAGGGGAAGGGAGGGAGGUCAGAAAUAGGUUGACACUUGGUUUGAAAUAAAAGAGCAUGUUAAGAAGUUUCGAAGCUGCCAAUAAAACCCUUUAAGUGGCUUGUGAUUCAGUGCCUGGAGUUGCGGGGAUGGCAUUGGUAAAUGACUCUAAUGCCCAAAGAAAAAUAUUACAAAUGCCGCUGUCUCGGCCACCAAUCGGGCGCCGCUUUCCUGCGCGGGCGAUGGCUCCUCUCUGGCGCGGAGGGCACCCACAUUUGCAUGAUAAAUUGACCAGACUGGCGGCAGCCAAUGAAAUAUUCAAAUUAGGCUGGGUGGCGGUAGUAGGGGUGGAGUCCCUGGGGCUGCCCCUUGGCGCGGCGGCGGGAGCGGGCGCUACCACCUCUCCGUCAGCGCCCUCUGGAGGCGGGACAGCGCGGGCGGCCGCUCUGGCCCAAAAGACGAGAUGGGGGGUUGGGGGUUUGGGAUGCAAGGGGGUUUGGGAGGGGUGAUGGUGGGGUCUGGGUGGUGCUUCGCGGCCCCAGGAGGCUUUCCGGCUGGCCUCGUUGACUAGGCGUACAGCAGCGUCUCCGCAUGCCUCUUGCCCUUAAAAGUGUUGAUGGAUUGCAGAAGUGGAUGGUGACCCCAAGGAGGGGUUUCAGAAAGGCUCCAGCCUCCUUCGCCCAACCACCUUCUCUAGGUUCCCCUAACAAACCCAUCACUUAAGUUAAAAACGUGUAUUUGCUCUUGUUGACUUAGCUUUAAGACAAGAUUCUUGCCCACCGCAGACCACAUGGCCAGCUUUCCCAAAGGCCCUCUGAUAAUGAAAUGGUGGAGCAGAUAUAUCAAACUUUCCAUCUUGCCCUGAGCCAACGACCCUGCACCCUCACAGGCCAGGGCACUCUGGAGGGCACCCUGCCUGGAGCCCCAAACCUUGGGUAAGCUGUGGGAGCCUAGGCAGGGGCAGGCAGUGCCUGGAGGCUGGCUUCAGACGGCAGAACUUCUCACCUGGGAAAAUGCUUUCUGGAAGAAGCACCCAGGCCUCAAGGCAGCUCCAGUGAGGGGGCAAAAAGGGAUAUACAUAAGGCAUAAGGCGCUGGCCAUGGUUAGGUAGGUGCUCAGCCAGGAAGAUAGGGCAGAUUCACAUGGGGGAGAUUGGCUCGGUGAUGAGACCACUUCUGACUCCACCAGAACCAGGCCCAGCUCUUCCUGGAGGUCCUGACUCAACGGGGACUUUUGCAUGGGAGCCAAAGAACAGUGGAUGUCUCUUGUCCGCUGAUCAUCUCUUCCCUUCCCCCACCCCAUAUUCCAUCCCAUGCCAGAUCCCUAGGCUGUGCCUGUUAGAGCUACUGUAGCACCACAUGGACUUGCCUUUAAAGCAGAAUUUUUAGAAGUGCAGUUGCUUUUCUUUACUCUGCUGUGGGAUGCUGAACACCUUGUUCUUUCUCCAGCUCAGCAGGGCUUGGAGUUGGUUCCUAGCUAUCUCUGGGAAUGCUCGAUCCCCAUCUCUGUUACCAGCCAAAAGGGUCUGCGGGAGGUGGUCGGCACUCCAGUCAGCAGCCCUCUCAGUACCUCUUCCCCAGACAUAGUCAAAGCAAGUCAUUCAUCUGCAGCCAGUCUCCCCUGCCCAUUCACCAAGGAGAACCUGGGGAUAGGACCACUCAGAGCCUGGCCCAGGCUGGCUCACUAACUGUGUGUAAAUACACACAGCGGAAAGAGUAGGUGCUGAACACACAUGUGUGAGAGAGUGAAUUUUUACUCUCAAUCACCUUAUAUAUAUUAUCAAUAGUUUCAAAGUAUGUUGCCCAAAGGAUGUUAAUUCCUAAGAAGGCUUUUAUAUCGUUUGGAGUUUUGAGGAGUGUGUUGGCUGAAGAGAAGAGGGUCUGGCCCCAGUCUUGAUGGGAAUGCAUGGGGUAAACAGCUGGUGGCAGAGGUACAAAAGGGGCCUCUCUACUUUCUAAGAGAAUCUUCCAUCCUGGCUGAUUUUAGGACCUGGGGUGGGGUUCCCAUCAGGAGGAGGCCUAAGGAAGGAGUAGGACCCUUCCUAGAUGGCUGAGUCAACUUAUACGACAGGGCAGGGAAACCUAUCUUGGAAACCCGGGAGCCCUCCUUCCUCCUCCCCAUCCUCAGGCCUCACCUGAGACUUGAAAAUGGACCAGAGUCUUCCUCCAACAGUGAAAUUCGUUAAAGAGUCACUCCUGUCUAGAAUGUGCAGAAAUGCAAGCCUCUCUCUUUCUCUCUCUCUCUCUUUCUCCACCUUGAGGAUGCUGUAUCUAGAGCCCAUAUAGGGACAAGAAGGUAAGCAGUGAAAGCAGGAAAGAAGUAGAAGGCUGGCUGUCAUCCAGCUGUGCAUACAGUCCUAUCUCAGCUGAACUGUGCACGGUGAAUGAGGAAGUAAAUGACAGGUGAAGGACCAAGAGAGUGAAGCUAGUCAGUUUAUCUGAGGAGAUAGGUAUCAGUGAGUAACUGUAAGGAUCACACCCACAGUGGGUGUGCCCCGCAGAUGGAUAUAUGUGCAGCAAGCGGUACCUUGCGGGGGAAUGCAAGCUCCAACUGUGGUGCUGAGCCUCUGGCCCAUAAGUAACCCAGUGAGCCUGAGCAGGUCACUCCCUCUCUUUGAACCUUGUCUCCAUCUCUAAAACAGGACAGCUUUCUCCAUCUUAAACACCAAGUAGGAAUUCAUUGUGGAAACCUUCCAUCAAAAUUGGAGAUGCCUUGGAUGGACCCUGUGGUGGCUCAUGCCUGUAAUCCCAGCACUUUGGGAGGCUGCGGCAGGCAGAUCACUUGAGUCCAGGAGUUUGAGACCAGCCUGGGUGACAUGACAAAACCCUCUCUCCACAAAAAAUACAAAAAUUAGCUGGGCAUGGUGGCAUGCACCUGUAAUCUCAGCUACUUGGGAGGCUGAGGCAGGAGGAUCGCUUGAGCCUGGGAGGUUGAGGCUGUAGUGAGCCGAGAUAGUGCCACUGCACUCCAGUCUGGGCAACAGAGUGAGACCCUGUCUCAAAAAAACAAAAAAUAGAGAAAUAGAGAUGCCCCUUGAACCCAUGGGUUUUUGGGACUACAUUCUGGAAGCUUUCAGAGUCAGACCAGAGUUUGAAAGAGGCAUUGUGUCACUAGCCGUGUGCCCGUGGGCAAGUCACAGUAGAGUCUACUUCCCACGGCACUUGUGAGACUCAUCUGGGAUUAUGUGUGUCCAUGCCUUGGCAGAGAGCUUGGUGAAGAAUGUUAGUUGUCCAAUAAAUGGUACCCCAUUAAGUUGGUGUGCAGGGUGGCCACAGGGCCAGACCACCCUGAAAAUAAAGGCUUAUAUUUGGGCUGAGCCUGGAUGCACCUGAGAUUACAAGCAGGUGCUUAGAAUGUGGUGAAAAAGAAAGACAGGAGAGAAUGGCUGAAGGCAGCAUGCAGUCCACCUGACUUUCUGGGAAGAUUGGGCAUUUGCAGGGCUGAUAAGUCAGGUUCUUCCGGGCCUUUCUGUGAGCUCAUUAGAGGAAGGGGUCUGGUGACUGAUAUUUCUAUUUUCCCUGUUAGUAGCGACUGGAAUUUGCACCAUCCAGGUCAGAUGGAAAAUAGAAGGCGGGAAAAUCUGACAGUCUCAUUGAUUUGCUCUCUUUGCCAUCACCACUCUUGAGAGGAAGAAAUGUGACUUCAAACUUGCAAUUAGGAACCAGCCUGCUAAGGAGUCCUCUCGUGAGCUCCUGUGCUAUGCGGAGCACAGGCCCAUCUCAUCUCAUUUCCUAAGGAGGAAAACCUUAAGACCUUUGUUGGACCAACUGGGGAAGAAUUUCUUUCCUGCUCAGGCUGCUCAGCUGAUAGAGUGCUGGCCUGGAGCAGCUGAAAGACACUUUGCUGCUUUCUGGAGAAUGAAGCCACUGGGAAACCACAUAGGAGGGAAGAGAGAGACAGCUUCUCGAUGAUGUCAUCUGAACACCUGGAUCCUGCUGUGCCUGGACUUGCAGUCCCAUUGUCUACCAAUAUAGUUCAUUGAAUUCAACUUCAGCUGGAUGUCAUUCAUCUGCUUCCAGAACUUGUGUCUAAUGCAGAGCUGAAUGCAUACUCUCAGAGUUGGAAGUGGAUGCAAUCCACAAAUCUAGCACCCAAAUUUCUUUUUUCUGUUCUUUUUUUUUUUUAAUUUGAGAUGGAGUCUUGCUCUGUCACCCAGGCUGAAGUGUAGUGGCGCAAUCUCAGCUCACUGCAACCUCUGCCUCCCAGAUUCAAGCGAUCCUUCUGCCUCAGCCUCCCGAGUAGCUGGAAUUACAGGCGUGUGCCACCACGGCUGGCCUAAUUUUGGUAUUUUUAGUAGAGAUGGGGUUUCACCAUGUUGGCCAGGCUGAUAUCGAACUCCUGGCCUCAAGUGAUCUACCCCCCUUGGCCUCCCAAAGUGCUGGGAUUACAGGUGUGAACCACCAUGCCCGGCCUCAAAUUGCUUUUACAGAGGCAAGUGGCCACCGAGUCUGUGAUUGGGAUCCUCCUGUGGAGACCUGUGGAGACUCGUGGCUCACUACCUUUGAAGGCAGUGUUAGGGUAAUCUCUCCACAUUUCCCUGCUGAAAGCUCUGAGUGUUAGUAAAUUCCUUCUCAUAUUAGCUAAAAUGUAUUUUCCUGUGCCUUUUAUUCACUGAUGGGGAAUACAAGCAUUCUUUUUGAGGGUGGCCAAUGCUAGUAAUUCCCUCCAUACAGUCAGUGAUGGAUAGAGUUAACCCAUGGUUGCUGCAUGUAGUACUGUCACUUGCUGUACCACCAGGACUCAAGUUGAUGCUCAACGCAACAUUCUUUUGCAGGGCCCUUGUCCUCAGUUUCCCUUCUUUUGGGGUGGGCUGAGAGAGACAGCUUAUUCAGCAUGAAGCUGUAGUAUCUACAGUUUAGCAAAUGUCUGCGGAGCCUUUAAAGCAGUUUUUAUCAUAAUAAAAAUAUUUUAACUUAUAACCCCAGAAAGAGAUAGGCAUGGGAGUCUUUAUACAGCACAGAAAUCCAGAUGAGCAUAAUUUGAAAGUCAUUUGAAUUGUAAUGAGUAUUUUUAAUGUAAACAGGCAGGAGGAAAAACUUGCUGGGUUCUCUUGUAGCACAGACACCCAGAUAUAUGUCUUUUGAUAGUGAUAUUAAAGUGUCAAGGGUGCAUAGGAGGCUGCAGAUGUCAGCGGCAUGAAUGGGCAAGGCAAUUUCUGUGGUUGCAGGCUGGAGGUUCCAGCAGGAAUAGAAAGGCAAUCUCUGUGCUAGAUGGCCCAGGGUCACUGCAAGUCUAGCUCCUAAAUGAAAAUCAGGGACAAGAUGUGGCCUGUAACCACAGUCACUGCUCUUCGUAAGGCUGGUGGAAAGGUGAACUGGAAAGGUUUUUAGGGUUAGGGAGAUACAGGAACUCCCAAACAUCAGGCACCUGAUAGCACUCUCCACCUAACAUCUGCAUUUAUAUUGACCUAAUGCAUCUGUUCAAUUUGUCUCAUUCUUUGUGCUCACACACAUUUAUUUGAAACAAAACUUUCCAUCAUUACUAUAGGUGAAAAUCCUUGAUCACUUGCCUUGAAUACAAGAAACCAUUAUUAAAUGCAAGCUAGAUAAUUUUGCUUGUCUUACAGCCAUGAGCCUUAAGUCUGUUCCCCCCACCCCCCCCCC
rnacentral:lncRNA from 1 species